rnacentral:lncRNA from 1 species
GCAGACGUGGUAUAUAAUCCGGGACAAUCAGGUAUAAUGUUUGUCAGAUGUAAUGAAAUUGAAUCAAAUACAUCGUUAAUGUCUAUUGUUUAUUGAAACUACUUAAAUAAUUACUGAAAUGAUUUAAUCAGUUAAUGCUUAGAAACGCAUCAUGAAUAUUAUGCUAUGUCUUUUUCAACACUAACCGAAAAAAAAAUAUCAAACACAAGGUUUCAGAGAAAUUUACUAAGCUAGCGGCACGGAGGGGUAAUAACAAAUGAAUGUUUUUAUUAUAAAGAUGAAAGGGUUGCUUCAUGUAUUUCUUUUUAAUUUAAAUGUCUAUAGAUCUGUUAUCCCAUGAUUUUUUUCUUAUUAUAAAAAUGUUGGUCAGAUCACUUUCAUAGAAAAGGGCCAUUCAAUUACGACAGGAAAUUAUCGUUAACAAUAUUGUUUUGUUGUAUUAAUUCAAAAUAAACACCAGUCAGUUCAUGUUUUCUUAUAAGCUCACUUUUUAAAAUGAAAUAUGAGCUUUUGCCGUCCGUCCGGUGUAAACUAUUUCAAACAUCUACUCAACAUAUUCCAACUAAACCUUUGCUGAAUGAUCCUUAUGUUAUUUAAAAUGCAAUUUGUGUUUUAUUUUGUAUUUCGUAAAAAAAAACAUGGGUAUCAGGCUAAAAAUAGAACAUAGGGGUAAAAUGCAACUGUUGGCCUUUAUCUCAAAAACUAAAGCAGUUAAAAAAAAUCUGACAUGUAGUAUACAUGUUCAUCAUGUCAUGUUCUAUCAGCCCUGAUAUGUUCAGAUGAAUAUAACAAUCCAUGGUUGGGUUGCUGCCACACAAUUGUGAAAUCUCAGGACUUUUUGAAGCUUUUGUUUUAUAUCUUAAAUAUUAUUAUAAAUAAAGAUAACCUAUAAACAGUAAAAAUGUUAAGCAAAGUAAGAUCUGUAAAUGAUCGGGUUUAAGGACUAAUAUUGUCAACUGACCAUUCAGGAUAUCAGUGACAUGUUAAAGUUCUCAAAAAGUAUUAAAAAAUAAAUAAGAUUUUAUAAGACUUUAACAAAUGGCUUAUAGUUAUACAUGCCAAAAAAAAAUGGGGUUCAAUGGGCAAAAUCUGAUAAGGCAUUCAAAUGGAUAAAAGCAGAGGAUUGCGAAAAUCUGACAAAAAUUCCAAAACACGACAAGCGAACAUCCAUGACAAGCGAACAUCCUUAAGGAAUUAAUGACAGUUAUAAACAAUUUGUUUAUCAGGUUUUUCUCAUUCAAAAAAUCGUCUGCUCUAAAACUGCUUAACCAAUCUAAACCAAGUUGAAGCUGAAUGGUUCUUAGGUUAUCUAGGAUAAAGCGUUUGUUUUAUUUUCUAUUUUCUCUGAAAAUAUGGCCACCAUGGCUAAAAUAGAACAUAUAGUAGAAUACAGGUGUAUACUUAAAUCACAAAAACUAAAUCAUUUAGAGCAAAUCAAACAAGAAAAUAAAGUAUUCAUUAGGUCAAGGUCUACCUGCUCUGAAAUAACAAGCCACAUUGCGAAGCUGGCUUUUUUGCUCAUGAAUUGAUGGUUUAAAGGAAAUGUUGCAGUUUUCAAUUUUCAUCCUGAAUAUUAUUAUAAAUAAAGAUACACUGUUAACAGCAAACAUGUCCAUAAGUGCUACAAAUAGGUCUAUAUGAUCAACAUUCUCAAUUGGCCCCUUAAGGAGUUAUUGCCCUUAUAAAACCAUUUCUCAUGAUUUGAAAAUUUAGUUUGCUUACUGUAAAAUAAAUAUUCUUCUUUGAAACUGGCGAAUCAAGUUCAGCUUAACUUUGAAUGAAUGAGUUUCAGUGUAAUAGGAAUACAUUUUGUAUUUCUUAUUUCCUUGUACUUCAAAAAGCAGGAGAAAAUGACAAUUUUAAGCCAUUCAUUAAUAUGCAUUGAACAUAAAAAAUAAUCAUUGAUAAAAGAUUUCAGCCAACAUAAACAGAUGAUCGAUAAAGGUUCUAUACGGCCUCUUGUUAAUAUUACACAUCAAUAAUCUAUGUAUCAUAUUUCUGGAAAAAUAAUACCGCUAUCAAAUACCAAAAAAGGGAAAAUACAACAUAUACUUUUGGUGAACAAACACUGCGUCUUGAUUAUAUUAAGAAAAUAACACAAUAUAAACUAAAGGAGUAGGUCCAGUAAGACCCCUUUUUGGCCCCAAAAUAUAGCAGUUUUACAAAAUUGUUAAAAUGUAAACAUUUAGAUAUUUAUUGUACAGUAGAAUGGUCCUGCUACAUAAAUAAAGGCUGUUUUUGACAAUGCAAUACACAUUAUAAAAGGUACUAGCACCAUUAAGUCAGGCUAAAUUACAGAAACCUUCACAAUUCUAGCAUUUUUGUUAAAUUUUAGGCGGUUUUCGUGUGAAACGAAAGUGGCCGCAUUAGUGUUCAUCCUUAAUAUCAAAAUGUAAGUUGUAUUUUAUGAGUAUACAUAACAUAUAUAAAGAUUGAGGAUGAACACGGAUGCGGCCACUUUCAUUUUUGACGAAAACCAUCUGAGAAAUGACAUUGUUCGGCAUAUUUGGUAGAUUUUUCAUAUUUGAGCUUGAAUCGGGUCGUUUUUAAUGACACAAUUAGUUAAACUCUUUCACAUAAACUAAUUGAUUCAAAUGAAAUAGACACUUAAGUGUUUAAAAAGUGGUCAAAAUCCUUCGUAAGAUGAACCUGAAAUUUGAGGCCAAAAUCGGUCCUUACCGAACCUACUCCUUUAAAAAAAUGAAUAAAAAAAAUAUGCCAUUCACUGUGUAGAUGUUUCAAUGAACAACGCUCUUAAAUUGCAGUAUGGACAGAGGCUAUCGACAUACUAAAGGCUACUUUUAUGAAAAAAAAGAAAAUAGCUAGGGUAAGAGGAAUGUUUGCUUCAACAAAUACAGUUACGUUCACAAAGUGGUUACCUGCUAAUUUUCCUGUGGAAGGUGUUAUGUGUGGUUGUGGAAGACACCUAAAAACGCCAAACUCGCUGUUAGUUCACUUACGAAGGAAAAGCUCUGCCGACCGAAAAAAUGUUAAGUUAUUCAAAAAGGGAAUAUAAUCAAAAUAAUAUUAAUGGUUUUGGAGACGUUACAUAGUGCCAUGCAUAUCUUAUUCUGAAUACAUUAACGACGACUGAACAUAAAAAGAAUAUCAAAGUGCAUUAUAUUAACAAUUCUUUAACGAGAUUAAUACCACAGUGGAUAUGUUUCAUGUUUGACAAUAUUUUAUAGACGCUUGUUCAAUUCAAAUGUCAUCACACA